UACGUAGGGUGCGAGCGUUUAAUCGGAAUUACUGGGCGUAAAGCGCACGUAGGUGGUCUGUUAUGUCAGAUGUGAAAGCCCUCGGCUUAACUGAGGAAGUGCACCUGAAACUGGCAGGCUUGAGUACGAAAGAGGGUCGCGGAAUUCCCGGUGUAGAGGUGAAAUUCGUAGAUAUCGGGAGGAACACCGGUGGCGAAGGCGGCGACCUGGGUUCGAUACUGACACUGAGGAUGCGAAAGGCGUGGGGAGCAAAC
rnacentral:rRNA from 1 species